rnacentral:lncRNA from 1 species
GGAAGCGGUCCUUUUGUAUCAAAUCUCUUUCCAUUGUCAUGUGGGUGAAUAGCACUCAUUAUUUGUUCCUGUGUGUCACUGUCAAGUAGAGAGCUUUCCCAUUCUCUUUGCACAUCUCUCUGUAUGCAGCAGGUAUGCGGAGAUGUCGUUACAGCAAUGAUGUGCUCUUUCUGACCAUUUCCCACAUUCCUUUCUGAGUCAGGUCUGGUUCACGUUGAGCUACCUGAGAGGAGCUGGGAACAUGCUGUUUCUCAUCAUUUUCACCCAGCAAGAGAACUGGAAAGAGAGAGCUACACCCAAACCAAUUAUGGUCAGGCCCUCUGGGCUGUUACAUAAUAUUUCAGGAGACAGUGGAGUGAAGCGGACCUCAGCAUCCCAGAGGUGUGCUGCCAAGGCCGUGUGCUCUCUGUGCUUGGAAGUCUUGGAAGCCUCCUACCACCCUCUGAGAAGAUUUUCCAGGCAAAACCCAGAUCUGCUGUAGUGACUUCAGAAGAAAGAGGUUUGAAGGAGGAUGAGAAGCCGAUAGCCAACGGUAUGUGUGUGAAAACACAUGGCAGACGUGUGCUCUCCAGCGUUCUGUCUCAGCUGAUGGUCAGAGAGCCUUGGGCCACCUUCACCUCCUCCUCCUUCCUCUCACUGUCUUUCCACCAUGCCAUCUCUAUCAGUUCAGUUCCCAACGGAAGACAGACGAUUCAGCUGAAGAAAAUCUAAUGAGGAGUCUAUCUGUGGUCAGGGUUUGGGAUGCCCAUGUGCAAUAGUGAUGCCCCCGGGAAGAGCAAGAAUGGGAAGCUGUGGCCACCUUGAGGCCUUAGGGCCAAUGGAAGGGACUAUGGUGCUGGAGCCCUGGGGAGCUGGAGCUUGAAAGAGGGGAAGAGGGGUCACCCUCAGAGGCUAUAGUCAUAGGGAGAUGCAACCACUGCUCAGACCAUGACAAAGCAUGGCAGGAGCAGAGGGAAAUCAACAUCCAGUACCUGUCCCUUUGACCCUUUGACCUGCUGGUGCCUUGCACUGGCUAAACUAGAAACUGGAGGGCAAGAGCCCCCCUGUGUAGCGGCCUAUAGGGGCCAACCUUCUGAGGUCAGAGCAGGACAGAGGUAGAGAAGGAACUUGGGGGCACAAAUGGAGAACAAUCAGCAAAGUUUACCUCCUUCAUCACUCAGCAUUGGAAAAUCUGAGAAGCACCAGAGGUUGUGUGAAUUACGUAAGAGGGGUUUGCUGCUUGAAUGAAUGUCUUUCCAAUUUGGGGGAUUUUUGAAGAAAGCGUUUAUGAGCAGGGCAGCUUGCUCCCUUACCUAGUCCUCCAAGAAUAAAGCCAAGGCCUCAGUUUUUAGUUCGUUGUUAACACUUACAUUCUUUAUUUUUAGGUUAUGAGGAUGAUGGUGGCUACCCAAAUGAUUGAGAGUAGGCCUUUGCACUAUGUAGCCAUGGAUUCAAAUCCCAGCUUUACUGCUGAUUAGCUUGGGGCUUUGAUGAAGUUAGUUGCCUCUCUUAGUCUCGAUUUUCCAAAAUGUAAUGUGUUGGAAAUAUCAAAACAUAGUUGAAAGGAUGGAAUGGGAUAAGAUGUAUAAAUUGUUUAAUAAUGUCAACUACAUGUUUUAUUUUGCAAACACACGGAGCAGAGUCAUUGGGCAAGACAAGGGAAAGUCUUGGCCAUUUAACCAGUCAUGGGGUUGGGGGAGGUUGGUGGUGACAUGGCAGGUACCCAAGGUCCUUGGAGUUGCAAAUCAGUGCAUCUAAGAGCAGUUUUGUUUCUCUGGCUGAAUAGAUGCUCUCCCAGCAGAACUAUGUCUACAGGCACUAUCUGGAAGUUAGGAG